rnacentral:rRNA from 1 species
GUGGCGAACGGGUGAGUAACACGUGAGCAACCUGCCCUGGACUCUGGGAUAAGCGCUGGAAACGGCGUCUAAUACUGGAUAUGAGACGUGAUCGCAUGGUCGUGUUUGGAAAGAUUUUUCGGUCUGGGAUGGGCUCGCGGCCUAUCAGCUUGUUGGUGAGGUAAUGGCUCACCAAGGCGUCGACGGGUAGCCGGCCUGAGAGGGUGACCGGCCACACUGGGACUGAGACACGGCCCAGACUCCUACGGGAGGCAGCAGUGGGGAAUAUUGCACAAUGGGCGGAAGCCUGAUGCAGCAACGCCGCGUGAGGGAUGACGGCCUUCGGGUUGUAAACCUCUUUUAGCAGGGAAGAAGCGAAAGUGACGGUACCUGCAGAAAAAGCGCCGGCUAACUACGUGCCAGCAGCCGCGGUAAUACGUAGGGCGCAAGCGUUAUCCGGAAUUAUUGGGCGUAAAGAGCUCGUAGGCGGUUUGUCGCGUCUGCUGUGAAAUCCCGAGGCUCAACCUCGGGCCUGCAGUGGGUACGGGCAGACUAGAGUGCGGUAGGGGAGAUUGGAAUUCCUGGUGUAGCGGUGGAAUGCGCAGAUAUCAGGAGGAACACCGAUGGCGAAGGCAGAUCUCUGGGCCGUAACUGACGCUGAGGAGCGAAAGGGUGGGGAGCAAACAGGCUUAGAUACCCUGGUAGUCCACCCCGUAAACGUUGGGAACUAGUUGUGGGGACCAUUCCACGGUUUCCGUGACGCAGCUAACGCA